rnacentral:rRNA from 1 species
AUGCCCUGGCCACCGCCCGGUGGCUCGCCGCGCCUGCAUUUCGUGCCGCGGAGAGGCCCAUGCCGCCGCCCUAUGGCUCGCCUCUCCAGAUGCGGCCGCGCCAUAGCUCUCCUCCUCGCGCCGACGAGGCUACCGGCCAUCCCCCGUCCAUCUGUCAUGUCCAGAAGAUCCGUCACCUCGCGCCGGUCAUCUCCACGGAAGAACUCGUCCGCGGCUGCACUGCACCAGCCGAAUGAAGCCGUCUUCCUCGCCGGCACCCGACGACCAAAACCUUCGAUUCGUCGUCUACAUGGCCUCCCCGACCUCGAAGCCGACGCCAUACGAUGUGUUGUGAGCUUUCCCAUCUUUUCCCUCUGCUCUAGCCGGCGCGUUGGUUCCAUAGUCAUCGUUCCACGAGCUCCGAGCUCCGGCCGCCGCCAUGGCCGACGAGCUCCAUGCUCCAGAGUUCCUCUGCUCAAACCUGUUGCAUCCGUGCGCUCCUAG